CUACGGGGGGCUGCAGUGGGGAAUUUUGGACAAUGGGCGAAAGCCUGAUCCAGCAAUACCGCGUGCAGGAAGAAGGCCCUCGGGUUGUAAACUGCUUUUGUACGGAACGAAACGGCGCGCUCUAAUAAAGUGCGCUAAUAACGGUACCGUAAGAAUAAGCACCGGCUAACUACGUGCCAGCAGCCGCGGUAAUACGUAGGGUGCAAGCGUUAAUCGGAAUUACUGGGCGUAAAGCGUGCGCAGGCGGUUUUGUAAGACAGGCGUGAAAUCCCCGGGCUCAACCUGGGAAUUGCGCUUGUGACUGCAAGGCUAGAGUACGGUAGAGGGGGGUAGAAUUCCGCGUGUAGCAGUGAAAUGCGUAGAUAUGCGGAGGAACACCGAUGGCGAAGGCAGCCCCCUGGACCUGUACUGACGCUCAUGCACGAAAGCGUGGGGAGCAAACAGGAUUAGAUACCCCAGUAGUC
rnacentral:rRNA from 1 species